GCAGGUUCAUACUCUCAGGCCAGAGAGCCUCCUGCUGGUGUCCACCUUGGAUGGAAGUCUUCAUGCACUGAGCAAACAGACAGGGGACCUGAAGUGGACUCUGAGGGAUGAUCCCGUCAUCCAAGGACCAAUGUACGUCACAGAAAUGGCCUUUCUCUCUGACCCAGCUGAUGGCAGCCUGUACAUCUUGGGGACCCAAAAACAACAGGGAUUAAUGGUUUGUAUCCCAUGGUGUUCGGGAAUGGGUGAGGGCCAGGGCUUUCGUCAGGUGGAGCACUGAGAGGUGGAGAGGCAGUAUGGUCAGUAUUUCCUGUCCUGCAGAGGAUGUAAGUCAGGACUCAGCACAUUGUGAGAAGGCUGUCUGAGGGACCCAUUGAAAGGGUGGUAAGGGGAGGUCUGGCUGUGUCUGCAGGGCAAUCUGACUGUCAAGCUGGGGGUAUCCCAGGGGCUUCUCCAGGACUCUGAGGACUUUAAGGAGAAAUGUAUAUACCAGUUAGCUUUCGCUAAAUAAAAACCAACCCAAAACUCAAGAGCUUAAAACUCAAACAUCACUUAAAUUUAUUCAACUCAGAAUUUGGUGAGAUGACGAUUUAGACUGGGCUCAGCACAGUGGUUCUUCUGCUGGUCUUGACUGAACUUGUUCAUGCAUGUGUGGUCAGCUGCUAGUCAGCUGGAUGGCUCUGUUUCUGAAAGUUGGUUGGUAGUUGGUUGGCUUUUGGCAGGGGUGGCUGGGCCAUGUGUCUCUUAUCCCUAGCAGGCAAGCCUAGGCUUGUUGACAUGGUAUC